AUGUCUCAAAAGCAGAUGAAGGAAGCUUUUGUCAGUAACCUCAAUGGAACCACCAUGCUGGAAAUCGCCCAGGGAUUGUGCUUUCCUGCAUUCUGUAUCCUGUGCAGAGGAUUCCUGAUCAUUUUCUCACAGCACAUAAGUUCUUUUUCACAUACCUGGAAAACUAGAUUCUUCAUUGACUUUGUUGUCCUAAUAGUUCCCAUGGUAGCCACUUUGACUAUUUGGGCUUCAUUUAUUCUCCUCGAGCUUCUCACUGUAAUUAUCUUUGGGGCAGGGCUGUUCUAUCAAAUAUACCGAAGGAGGACUUGCCAUGCCAAAGUUCCUUUCCAGAAAAUUCUUGAAAAAUUAUUGAAAUCAACGUAGAAUCAGAAUACAUUACAGCGAUCUCCUGUUUCCAUGUAAUUACCAGUGCAUCUACUGCUAUUGCUAUUUUGGCUGUGGACUUCCCACUUUUUCCCAGAAGAUUUGCCAAAACUGAGCUCUAUGGGACAGGAGCAAUGGCUUUUGGAGUAGGUGGCUUUGUUUUUGGGACUGUAAUGGUUUGUCUAGAGGUCAGGAGGAGAAAAUAUAUGGAAGGGUCCAAAUUGUGUUACUUUACAAACUCAUUGUACUCUGUUUGGCCAUUGGUAUUCCUAGGAAUCGGAUGAUUAGCCAUUAUAAAAUCAAUAGGCUAUCAGGAACAUGUGACUGAGUAUGGAGUUCACUGGAACUUUUUCUUUACCAUAAUAGUUGUGAAAUUGGUAACACCACUGCUUUUGAUUAUUUUCCCCUAAAUAAGUCCUGGUUUACUGCCCUCAGAAUUACCAUAUUACACCAGCUAGCCCUUGACUUUACCCCACUGAAGAGGUUAAUAUUAUAUGGUACUGAUGGUAAUGGUAUACGGGUUGGUCUAUUAAAUGCCAACCGCGAAGGAAUAAUCUCUAUCCUGGGGUAUGUGGCAAUACACAUGGCUGGUGUACAAACAGGGUUAUAUGUGCAUAAGAACAGAUCACAUAUCAAAGACUUAAUAAAAGUAGCCUGUUUUCUUUUUCUGGCAGCUAUUAGCUUCUUUAUAUCUCUUUGUGUAGUUCAAGAAAAUGUAGAAACAGUAUCUCAAAGAAUGGCAAAUUUAGCCUUUUGUAUUUGGAUAAUUGCUUCUAGCCUGAUUGUUCUUAGUAGUUUAUUACUGGGUGAUAUAAUUUUGAGUUUUGCCAAAUUUCUAAAGGCACUCUAGUAACAUGUUCUUGGAAACUUAUCCAGUCACAUGUUACAAAUAAAAAGCAUUCAGAAUCUCUAGUCCCUGAAACUGAAAGAAGGGAACCUAGUCUUUGUUUAAUCACAGCUCUAAACAGAAAACAGUUAAUAUUUUUCUUGCUGUCAAAUAUAACAACUGGCCUGAUUAACUUGAUGGUAGAUACAUUAUACAGCAGUACAUUGUGGGCCUUAUUUGUGGUCAAUCUCUAUAUGUUUUCCAACUGUUUUAUUGUAUUUUCACUGUAUUUGCAAGAUAAGACUAUAAAAUUUUGGUGA